UACGAAGGGGGCUAGCGUUACUCGGAUUGACUGGGCGUAAAGGGCGCGUAGGCGGGCUGCCAAGUCCGGGGUGAAAUCCCACGGCUCAACCGUGGAACUGCCUCAGAUACUGGCGGCCUCGAGGAGGGUAGGGGCAUGCGGAACUAUGCGUGGAGCGGUGAAAUGCGUUGAUAUGCAUAGGAACUCCGGUGGCGAAGGCGGCGUGCUGGACCCUUUCUGACGCUGAUGCGCGAAAGCCAGGGGAGCGAACGGG
rnacentral:rRNA from 1 species